rnacentral:rRNA from 1 species
UACGAAGGGUGCAAGCGUUACUCGGAAUCACUGGGCGUAAAGCGUGCGUAGGCGGUUGAUUAAGUCUGCUGUGAAAGCCCUGGGCUCAACCUGGGAACUGCAGUGGAUACUGGUCAGCUAGAGUGUGAUAGAGGAUAGUGGAAUUCCCGGUGUAGCGGUGAAAUGCGUAGAGAUCGGGAGGAACACCAGUGGCGAAGGCGGCCAUCUGGAUCAACACUGACGCUGAGGCACGAAAGCGUGGGGAGCAAACAGG